rnacentral:rRNA from 1 species
UACGGAGGGUGCAAGCGUUGUCCGGAUUUAUUGGGUUUAAAGGGUGCGUAGGCGGCCUUGUAAGUCAGUGGUGAAAGCCUCCAGCUCAACUGGAGAACUGCCAUUGAUACUGCAAGGCUUGAGUACAGACGAGGUUGGCGGAAUUGAUUGUGUAGCGGUGAAAUGCAUAGAUACAAUCAAGAACUCCGAUUGCGUAGGCAGCUAACUAGGCUGUAACUGACGCUGAGGCACGAAAGCGUGGGGGAGCGAACAGG